rfam:Rattus norvegicus chromosome 14, whole genome shotgun sequence.
AGGAGAGACAUCUUUCACACAUUUGACUUCCAGACUCAGUUGAUGUGGCAGGCUACCUGCAUGUCUCCUUUCUCUCUCUCUACUUCAUAUACAUCUCCCCUGAAGCUGUGUGCUUAAUUGAAGAGGACGACCUUCUCUGAAUAGCGAGGGGGACUGGUCUUCAGUCAAGGGAAUACAAGUAGCUGUGUUGCCCUACUCCAAACCUCCAAACAAGCUCUCGAGUUUUCAUUAUUCCAAAAAUAUGUAUACAUUACGCACACCAUCAGUAACUCAUACUAUUGUAGUAGUGCCUGAGUAUCUAAAACUGGU